ensembl:lncRNA
CUCCCCCCCUCCAAAGGGGUUAUACACAAGGACUUCUUCACACCGAAGGAAACGGGGACAGAGACGCAGGUGGCUUUCUCCGAGAGACCCCACCAGCCCAAGAUCAAAAUGAUCCGGCCACAGAUGCACGCGCUCAUGCACACCGACCCCAGGAUCAGCGUCGUCACCCCCACGACCCGGGAUAGCUAUCCCGGGCUGGAGGCAGCGGGGCCGAGGCCGCUCACCCACAAACCGCAGAAUGAGAAGUGGAACCGCAACCUGUUCUGCGAGAAUGAGAGACAAUUCCCUCAGCAGCCUUCGCUGUCCUGCUCCUCCUAUGUAGACCAUGGGAUGCAGCCAGUUGCAAGAGCCCUGUGCAUGCACCUGGGAGGACCUUCCCCGUUCACAGGGGAUGGGCGCUCCCACUACCAAACCACACACCAUGCAGACUUCCAGGGGGAAUGGGCCCCCCCUGCGCAGCCCUGCGAGAAGGUAACGGUACAAUUCGGCGAGCUCAGCCCCAUGGGACCUCACGUACACUCUGCUGGGAACCGAGGCAGCUCCUAGGCUGAGGCCUGAUCCGGUCACCAUAGGGAGUGAGUCUCCAGAUUCACUCGGGACUUACCCCAUCUCUGGGUGCAGAGAUCCAUGCCCACGCCUCCAGGGGACACAGCUCUGUCUGUGCCCUGGCCUAGCCUGCAGCAGCAUCUGCUUUCUAGGGAGAGGGAAUAAUGUGUGGAACUGGGGCCCUGGGAGCAGAGCUGGGGGCAAUGGGAGCUUGGCUGUAACGGGGGCAAGGCCUGGUCCGCACCAGCCAGCAUCAAACUGCAUUGGGUUCCCUCCAGAUGAAAUCAGCCGUCGUGCUUGGCAGCCCCAGGGUCACUGGGAAUAACACGGAGCAGCACGACGCCUACACCCCCCCAGCCGCAGGGAGCUACAGCAUCUAUGACAAGGACCAGGCAGCAGAAACGCUCCACAAGACCACCAUGCGGGCAGGGGAUGACCGCAGACGAUUUGUGACCACCACCGCUGCGUCGUUCCCCCUGCGAGAGCUAGUGCCCAUAUCCCGGGAGUACGAAAGCCAGCUGGUGUCGUCAUUCCCCCGCGGUGACCGGGACCCCAAGAGGAGCCAGGAGCGGGCCAGCACCACCACGUACCGGACCUGCUACACAGAGUUUGACCAGGACAAGUGUCCCCCACGCCCCGCUCCGCCCCAGUGGAGAGGCUGGAGCUUUGUGCCCUUUGGGGAUGACAAGCUGAGCUCGGCAUUUUACAGCACCUUGCACCAGGAGGAGUUUCCUCCACGGCCGCCUGCCCGGACGGUGCCAUGCAACAGCAAGGACCAGUUGAAGAGCCACCUGCCAUUGAACCAACCCGGAAACCUUCCCAUCUCCAGUACCCAGGCCGCCUUUGUCCCCCACAGCCAACCGACGGUGCGGCCCACAGAGGAGUCGCUGCAGCGGGUGAGAGACUCCCACCUGGUCCCGCCGUUGGGGGCGCAGCGGCAGUUCCAGCCCGAGCAGCCGGAGCAAUACUACAACAAAUACAGCGGCCCCGCCGUCCUCUACGGGCGCGACUGGCUGGUCAGCAGCGUCCCACUGGGCACCAUACCAAGGUACAGCCCAUGGGCAGAGCCGGGGGACAGCCCAACUCUCCCUGCCCCCCUGCUGGGGAGCGCCCCCGGGCUCUGCCCUUGCUUGGAGGUCCAGGAUCCUAUGGCCAAAGCCAACCUUGGCCUUGCAGGGCCACAUAGCAGGGAUGCCCACAGCCAUCUGCAGGAGAUACCCGGGGCACCUGGAGGCAGGCGGGCAGCAGUACCCCCUUCCUCUGCAGCCACCGGGUAGGAGGUGGCCUGGGCAGGGAGGGAGGGAAGGGGGGCAGCACCAUCAGGGCUGCCCCCGAGCUCCCCUCCAGGCAGCACAGGCCAAUGCCGGCUGGGCAGAGGGAAAGAGGCUGUGUGCCCGGGCGGUUCGUCCCACCAGGGCUGUACCCCCCCAGCUGCAGGGCAGGGCGUGGAGUGCAGCAGGGGCUCCCAAAAGGGUGCAGCGCCAGCCCGGGCUCCCCCGGGUCCUGGGCAGGCGAGCUGCGUGCACCCGUGCCCACUCCCUGGGCGCCCUCGGGCCCCGGCAUUGCCCCCAGAAGGACAGGCUGCCGCAGGGCUGCGCAGAGCGAUGCGUCUGCAGUGGGGCCAGGCCCUCCCGUUCUCCAUCCCAUGCAGGACCCGGACCAGCGACUGGGGGCCCAAGAAACAACAGCGCAGGAGCUGCUGACCUGAGGAUCUCUGGGUUGGGGGCAGCCUCCCCCGUCUCCACUAUCCUGUAAAUAGACCGUGUGUUGCUGACGUGCUGCCUGUGAGCUGUGCCUCUGGCCUAGUGCACCGGGCUGGACCCAGGGGAGCACCUGGCUCCUACCCCAGCUUUGCCACUGGCUCCUCAGUGACCUGUCCUCCCCCAUGCCUCAGUUUCCCCGUCAGGGAAGGGAGCAAUGGCUCUUGCCUCGCAUGCAGUGCCCGGAGCCCCGCGGAGGUGAAGUGCCAGGUAGGAGCAGAGUCCACGCUCCUGCUCAUGGGUCUGCCCGGGAGCUCAGAUCCAGGGGAACCGACGGUGGGCAGGAUCAUCCGUGACUAAACGUCCCCAACCACAGUCUGUUCAUCCUGCUCCUCAAAAAUGUCCCAGUGCGGAGAUACCACAGCCCCCCUGGGCGGCCUGUCCCGAUGCUGAACCACCCCCAGAGAUUUCCCCCUCCUCUCGAACCUCCUUUCCCUGCUGCGGCCUGGGGCGGUGCACCUUGUCCUGUCCCCUGCAGCCACGGAGAAAAAGCCCAUCUCCGUCCUCUGUCGUCACC